UGCAGUCGACGGCAGCACGGACUUCGGUCUGGUGGCGAGUGGCGAACGGGUGAGUAAUACAUCGGAACGUACCCAGUAAUGGGGGAUAACUAGUCGAAAGAUUAGCUAAUACCGCAUACGCCCUACGGGGGAAAGAGGGGGAUCGCAAGACCUCUUGUUAUUGGAGCGGCCGAUGGCUGAUUAGCUAGUUGGUGGGGUAAAGGCCUACCAAGGCGACGAUCAGUAGCGGGUCUUAGAGGACGAUCCGCCACACUGGAACUGAGACACGGUCCAGACUCCUACGGGAGGCAGCAGUGGGGAAUCUUGGACAAUGGGCGAAAGCCUGAUCCAGCAAUGCCGCGUGCGUGAAGAAGGCCUUCGGGUUGUAAAGCGCUUUUGUCUGGGAGCAAAUCCUUGUGGCUAAUACCCACCGGGGAUGAGAGUACCAGAAGAAUAAGGACCGGCUAACUACGUGCCAGCAGCCGCGGUAAUACGUAGGGUCCAAGCGUUAAUCGGAAUUACUGGGCGUAAAGCGUGCGCAGGUGGUUUGUUAAGCGCGAUGUGAAAUCCCCGAGCUCAACUUGGGAAUUGCAUUGCGAACUGACUGACUAGAGUACGGCAGAGGGGGGUGGAAUUCCACGUGUAGCAGUGAAAUGCGUAGAGAUGUGGAGGAACACCGAUGGCGAAGGCAACCCCCUGGGCUGAUACUGACACUCAUGCACGAAAGCGUGGGGAGCAAACAGGAUUAGAUACCCUGGUAGUCCACGCCCUAAACGAUGUCUACUAGUUGUUGGGCUUUUUCGGAGCUUAGUAACGCAGCUAACGCGUGAAGUAGACCGCCUGGGGAGUACGGUCGCAAGACUAAAACUCAAAGGAAUUGACGGGG
rnacentral:rRNA from 1 species